GCUGACGUAGCUCAGUUUGGUAGAGCACAUCCUUGGUAAGGAUGAGGUCGUCGGUUCAAGUCCGAUCGUCAGCU
rnacentral:tRNA from 1 species